UAAAAUUAUUUCUGGUUUAAAAUUUAUUAUAUAUUUUAAUUAUAUAUAAAUUAUUUAAUAAUUAUAUUUAAAUUUAUAUUUUAAAAAAAUAAAUUUAAUUUUAGAAAAAUUUAUAAUAUUUAAUUUUAAAAAAUAAUUAAAUAAAUUUAAUUUUAGAAAUAUAAAUUUAUUACUAAUUAAAAUUGUGCCAGCAAUUGCGGUUAUACAAUUAGUAAAAAUAAAUUUUUAAUAAAUUUUAAAUUAUUUAUUAUAAUAGAUAAAAAUUUAAGUAAAUUUAAAUUAAAUAGGUAAAAUAUAUUAAUUUAAUAAAAUAAAUAAAAAAUAUAAAAAAUUUAAAAAAGAAAAUAUUUUAAACUAGGAUUAGAUACCCUAUUAUUAAUUUAAUAAUUAAAUUAAAUUAGUAGAAUUAAAUUAGUAGAAUUAAAAAUUUGAAAAUUAAAGAAUUUGACGGUAUUUUAAUCAAUUUAGAGGAAUUUGUUUAAUAAUUGAUAAUCCACAAUUAAAAUUACUUAUUUUAAAAUUUGUAUAUCGUUGUUAUAAAAAGAUUUUUAUUUAAUUUAAAAAUAUUUUAAAAUUUAAAUUUAAAUUUAUAUCAAAUCAAGAUACAGUUUAUUGAUAAGAAAAAAAUGAAUUACAAUAAUUUAUUUAAUAAUUAUGUUUAAAUAAAUUGAAAAUUUUAAAAUUUAAUUGGAUUUAAGUGUAAUUAUAUAUAUAUAUAUAUUAUGAUUAUUGUUUUAAAAUAAGUACAUAUUGCCCGUCACUCUCAUAAAUUAAAUAAUUGAGAUAAGUCGUAACAUAGUAGAAGUAUUGGAAAAUGUUUCUAGAUUUAA
rnacentral:ncRNA from 1 species